rnacentral:SRP_RNA from 1 species
UGCAGCCGGGGAGUCAGCGGUGCCCUGUACCUACAAUCCGCUACAGUAGGGGUGAUGCCAAUCCGAGGAGCUUUCAUUGCGGAGCUGCCUUUUAUAAGUGGCGUUGACGUCUGGGUCUUACGCAACAGGAAUCUAUGAACCGUGUCAGGUCAGGAAUGGAGCAGCACUAAGUAGAAUCUCCUGUGUGCCGUAAGGCAGCCUGGACUGAGUUAACUGUAAGAGUAACGUCCGUGGUGGGGUUUCGAAGUGCGGCGCACG